rnacentral:rRNA from 1 species
UACGAAGGGGGCAAGCGUUGUUCGGAUUCACUGGGCGUAAAGGGUGCGUAGGUGGUCGGGUCAGUCUGAGGUGAAAUCUCCGAGCUUAACUCGGAAACUGCCUUGGAUACUAUUCGGCUGGAGGGUUGGAGGGGGGACUGGAAUUCUCGGUGUAGCAGUGAAAUGCGUAGAUAUCGGGAGGAACACCGGUGGCGAAGGCGGGUCUCUGGGCCGAUACUGACGCUGAGGAGCGAAAGCGUGGGGAGCGAACAGG